rnacentral:rRNA from 1 species
UACGGGGGGAGCAAGCGUUGUUCGGAUUUACUGGGCGUAAAGGGCGCGUAGGCGGUCAGCACAAGUCAGUUGUGAAAUCUCCGGGCUUAACCCGGAAAGGUCAACUGAUACUGUGCGACUAGAGUGCGGAAGGGGCAACUGGAAUUCUUGGUGUAGCGGUGAAAUGACGUAGAUAUCAAGAGGAACAGCCUGCGGCGAAGGCGGGUUGCUGGGCCGACACUGACGCUGAAGCGCGAAAGCGUGGGGAGCGAACAGG